GAUGAACGCUGGCGGCGUGCCUAACACAUGCAAGUCGAGCGAACAGACGAGGAUCUUGCUCCUCGCACGUUAGCGGCGGACGGGUGAGUAACACGUGGAUAACCUACCUAUAAGACUGGGAUAACUUCGGGAAACCGGAGCUAACACCGGAUAAUAUAUUGAACCGCAUGGUUCAAUAGUGAAAGACGGUUUUGCUGUCACUUAUAGAUGGAUCCGCGCCGCAUUAGCUAGUUGGUAAGGUAAAGGCUUACCAAGGCAACGAUGCGUAGCCGACCUGAGAGGGUGAUCGGCCACACUGGAACUGAGACACGGCCCAGACUCCUACGGGAGGCAGCAGUGGGGAAUCUUCGGCAAUGGGCGAAAGCCUGACGGAGCAACGCCGCGUGAAUGAUGAAGGUCUUCGGAUCGUAAAACUCUGUUAUUCGGGAAGAACAACUGUGGAAGUAACUAUGCACGGCUUGACGGUACCGAAUCAGAAAGCCACGGCUAACUACGUG
rnacentral:rRNA from 1 species